AAAAUAAGCAUCACUUAUCUCUCUGGACGGACUAAUGUUUUCAAGAUAAGAUGGUAUAAACUUAAUUUAUGCAAAGUUUAAUACAGGUUUGCUAUAUGUGAGAUGGAUGCUUAUCUUUUUGUGGCAAUUGUCUCACUCCAAGUAUGCAAGGCCAAAGCGACAAUGUGGUGAUGGCGAUGACACGUGAUAAUAAUGGUGAUUGAUGGUGGUAGCAACACGUAAUGUAUGUUAUUGAUGUACAAUGACGUUAAUGUUGUAAGUUAGUUAAUUAAAGGUACU